rnacentral:rRNA from 1 species
AAAUGAAUAGACGGGGGCCCGCACAAGCAGCGGAGCAUGUGGUUUAAUUCGAAGCAACGCGAAGAACCUUACCAGGACUUGACAUCCCCUGCAUAACUCGUAACGGAGGAAGUCCUUCGGGACAGGGAGACAGGUGGUGCAUGGUUGUCGUCAGCUCGUGUCGUGAGAUGUUGGGUUAAGUCCCGCAACGAGCGCAACCCCUGUUGCUAGUUGCCAUCAUUAAGUUGGGCACUCUAGUGAGACUGCCGGAGACAAUUCGGAGGAAGGUGGGGAUGACGUCAAAUCAUCAUGCCCCUUAUGUUCUGGGCUACACACGUGCUACAAUGGGCGUAACAACGGGAAGCAAGCUGGAGACAGCAAGCAAACCCCUAAAAAGCGCCCUCAGUUCGGAUUGCAGGCUGAAACCCGCCUGCAUGAAGUGGGAGUUGCUAGUAAUCGCGAAUCAGCAUGUCGCGGUGAAUACGUUCCCGGGCCUUGUACACACCGCCCGU